UUAAAAAUGUUGAGCAAAGCGAGACCAUCUUGCUAGUAAAUAAAUACAAUUUUGAAAAUAGAGGCAGCUCCCUGGUAAGUGCUGCUAUUUAAGCUAUUUCUAGAACAGGCCAGCGGGCUACUCAUCUGGUCCUUAUGGCCUACCUGGCGCCCGCGGGCACCAUGUUGGUGACCCCUGCGAUAGACUGACCACACCUCCUCUUUUCACGGGAAAUGUCCUCUUUGCGGAGCUGUUCAGGUGGAGUUUCUUAAAUGCCUCAAAUGUCCGGCAUUUUAAGUUAAGGGUUGCGUGUAUUUUCAAUGUACGUUCAGGGUUAAGAAGGGGUUAAAAACAAAAAGUGCUGCACGGCAGCAACAUUCGUGAGGAAGGGGGAGACAGAGAGAGCGAGAGAGUUAUGAUAAAUGCGCAUGCGUCGCCAGACUCUACUUUUUAACCAUAGAUUUAUUAAAUUUUAUUUUUUAUUAUCUAUAGCAGUGGUGUCAAAAGUGUGCACCGGAGGCCAUUUCCCGCCCACAGCUAAUGUUUAAAAGGCCCACUGUCAGGCAUGAACUUGGAUUGUUUGUGCUCCUUCGACGCAGAGGGAUUACAGGAUGAGCCAGACGUGACUGUUAGCACCAGGCAGAAAAAGCAAAGCGAAAGAACUCAGCAGAAGUUCCCAAAAACAGGAACAGAAACCCAAAAGCCGGUCUGACGGGUUUGCCGAGUGAUACCAGCUGAACUGCCUUCAAGUAAACACACACACGCACGCACACGCACACACACACUUUCUAAGGUAAACAUCCUUCAUGGUGACAUCAUAAUUGUCAGUCAAAGCUGAAAUGGCCUGAAAUGCUAACAAUUAACACGGUGUUCGGUAGUGUCCGAUAAAAACAAAUACCACCAUUAUAGCUACAACAGUUUGCAUGCAUCAAGUAUCAAAAUAUUGACUGUGAACUAUAUACCUGCAAAUAUGGUAAUUGAUAACAUGCUAAAGUUAGAAUGCCAACUGUAAAUAUGUGUCAAAAAACAAAAUAUAUAACUAAGUUGGAGACGUGCAAGAAUAGAUUAGAAAAUAAAAACAUUGUUUUUUUUAGCACCGGACUAAAGAGUGCACCAGUAUACAAGCCACACCCACUAAAUUUAAGUAGAACAUUUUUUCCAUAUAUAAGUUGCACCAAACUAUAAGUCACAUAUAUAUACAUUGUGAAAUGAGUUAGUGACACAGAAAUGUUUAUUUACAUACCUUAAUUUGUUUUCAAAUGGCGUCUGUAAAAGAGCGGUAAAACGGCUGAUCAAACAAAACAGAACUCAUGGUCAUGGACCCACUAGCUGCGCAAGCUAGCUCUCCAAUCAGCACAACAGGCUCAAUAACUCCACAGGUGAUGUUUUGGUGACUUUACUGAGGAAUUUGUGAAAGUGAAACUAUACAAAAAGAAUGUAAGUUAAUAAUACUAACACAGACACUCAUAAACGUGUAAGCAUAUUAGCUAAUGCUAACGACGCUAGCUUGAUUGCAUUACAAAAUGCAAAUAUGCAUGAAAAACACUCCUACAGACAUCACACAUGGGACGCUUUAGUCAGUAAGAAUUGUUUUAGUUAUAUUGUAAAACUUACAAUUGUUGCUUGGAGUGAUGAAUGAAGAAUCCAUAUGAGUAGAAACGCUAUGGACGGAACGGCACUUGUACUUCCUGUAACUUAAAAGCACUAAAUGGAAGGACACUGCAGCGCCUGCAGUGAGUGAACUCAUCCAAAGAAUGGCGUCAUGGCACCAACAAUAAAAACACCUUCUCAGUU